rnacentral:lncRNA from 1 species
GAGGUUAGGCGAGUGAAUGAUAUGUUAAUGUCUAUUAAAUUGGUUAUUGGGGGUUGCGUCCUCAACGUCAUCAGCACUUACGCGCCGCAUGCGGGCUUAGACGAGGAGGCUAAGAGGCGUUUUUGGGAGGGCUUGGAUGAUCUGGUAAGUAGUAUCCCCCAAUUUGAGAAGUUAGUUAUUGAAGGAGACUUUAAUGGUCAUAUUGGGGCUGAUAUUGGUGGCUAUGGUGGGUGCACAGUGGCUUCGGCUUUGGGGCUAGGAACGGAGGAGACACGUCACUUUUUGAUUUCGCCACGGCUUCCGAGAUUCUGAUUGCGAACUCGACAUUUCAGAAGAGGGAGGAGCAUUUGGUCACCUUCAAGAGUUCGGCGGCGAGGACUCAGAUUGAUUACCUCCAGCAUUUGGUCACCUUCAAGAGUUCGACGGCGAGGACUCAGAUUGAUUACCUCCUCCUUAGAAGGAGCGACAUGGGUAUGUGCAAGGACUGCAAGGUUAUU